rnacentral:rRNA from 1 species
AUUGAACGCUGGCGGCAGGCCUAACACAUGCAAGUCGAACGAGUGGCGGACGGGUGAGUAAUGUCUGGGAACCUGCCUGAUGGAGGGGGAUACCUACUGGAAACGGUAGCUAAUACCGCAUACCAUCAGAUGUGCCCAGAGGGGUUUAGUUGGUUGUUGGGUUAACGGCUCACCAAGGGGACGAUCCCUAGCUGGUUUGGGAGGAUGACAGGCCACACUGGAACUGAGACACGGUCCAGACUCCUACGGGAGGCAGCAGUGGGGAAUAUUGCAGAAUGGGCGCAAGCCUGAUGCAGCCAUGCCGCGUGUAUGAAGAAGGCCUUCGGGUUGUAAAGGACUUUCAGCGGGGAGGCGUUACCCGCAGAAGAAGCACCGGCUAACUCCGUGCCAGCAGCCGCGGUAAUAC